CUGAGACACGGCCCAGACUCCUACGGGAGGCAGCAGUGGGGAAUUUUGGACAAUGGGCGCAAGCCUGAUCCAGCUAUUCCGCGUGUGGGAUGAAGGCCCUCGGGUUGUAAACCACUUUUGUAGAGAACGAAAAGACAUCUUCGAAUAAAGGAUGUUGCUGACGGUACUCUAAGAAUAAGCACCGGCUAACUACGUGCCAGCAGCCGCGGUAAUACGUAGGGUGCGAGCGUUAAUCGGAAUUACUGGGCGUAAAGGGUGCGCAGGCGGUUGAGUAAGACAGAUGUGAAAUCCCCGAGCUUAACUCGGGAAUGGCAUAUGUGACUGCUCGACUAGAGUGUGUCAGAGGGAGGUGGAAUUCCACGUGUAGCAGUGAAAUGCGUAGAUAUGUGGAAGAACACCGAUGGCGAAGGCAGCCUCCUGGGACAUAACUGACGCUCAGGCACGAAAGCGUGGGGAGCAAACAGGAUUAGAUACCCUGGUAGUCCACGCCCUAAACGAUGUUAACUAGUUGUUGGGAUGUAACAAUCUCAGUAACGCAGCCAACGCGAGAAGUUAACCGCCUGGGAAGUACGGUCGCAAGACUACAA
rnacentral:rRNA from 1 species